rnacentral:tRNA from 1 species
AGGGGUGUCGUUCAGUGGUAGGACCUUGCUCUCCAAAAGCAAUGACGAGGGUUCGAUUCCUUCCACCCCUGCCA